rnacentral:rRNA from 1 species
UACGGGGGGAGCAAGCGUUGUUCGGAUUUACUGGGCGUAAAGGGCGCGUAGGCGGCCAGCGCAAGUCAGUUGUGAAAUCUCCGAGCUUAACUCGGAAAGGUCAACUGAUACUGCGCGGCUAGAGUGCAGAAGGGGCAACUGGAAUUCUCGGUGUAGUGGUGAUAUGCGUAGAUAUCGGGAGGAACACCUGUGGCGAAGGCGGCUUUCUGGGCCCUACCUGACGCUGAGACGCGAAAGCGUGGGGAGCGAACCGG